rnacentral:rRNA from 1 species
AUGGAGUGCUGGAUCCCGAACGCACGAUUCAGAUUGGCAUUCGCGGGAACUCGGAGUUCCUUUGGGAGUUCUCAUAUGAUGCCGGCAUGACCGUGGUGCAUAUUGAGGAAUUCCAGCGGAUGGGUGUCGAUGCGGUCAUCGAAAAGGCGCGUACAGUGGU